AGCUAUUUAGCUAGAAAAUGUUAAUUGAAAGAAGCAAAAAGUGGAUUGCGUGCCAGUGAAACGAACGAUAGAAAAGAAGAAGCAUUCAAACUGUUUGCAAAACUUUUGAUUUAAAUACAAAAGACCAAGUAAAAAUGAUACUGGAAAGACUGUUUACCGCUUGACUCCUGUCCCAAUCUAACCUAGUGGGCUCAAAAAGAAAGAACUGCGCUGGAAACAGGAGGGGGUUAAAAGGAUUAGCCCUUUUUGAACUAUUAGUCGAAGUCGUAACCAGCUAGAAGUCGUAACCACCUCAUAUGAAAAGAUUUCUCAACGUGAAAUAGUUAAUUUUAUUCAACAACUCCAAGAAACAGAGCUCUCUCAAGAAACAGGAAAGAAAGAGAAAGAUGAAAAAAUAUUUUGUUGAACAAUACUGUUGUUUUAUUUAUAAAUUAU